AUGGAGAGCGCCCAUAAGAAGGCACUCGGCAUCGUGACGCUACUGGUGGUUCUGCAGCUGCUCGUGGCGGCCAUGGCUCGCUCACCACCAGAGGAGAUGGAAACGGAGGCGGCGAGAUCAGAAAAGAUAGCGAUUGAGCGCCUCGUCCUGAAAGCGCCGCGGGGAGACGCGAAAUGCGCCGACGAAACAUGCUAUACUGGUUUUUGCUUCGUCGUCGCUGGUUGCAGCUGCCAGUAUCCCUACUGUACAAAGUCUCGCGUCCCAACGCCAGUUCAUGCUUGA
rnacentral:rRNA from 1 species